AGAGGAACCCGGCGACGCAGGAAGAUCCCCGUUAGCGCGCGUGGCGUUUUCUUCCGUCGAAGAUGGGUUCGGUCCCUCGGCCCUCUGAAAGCUAAGUGGAGGCACGGGGGCUGGGGAGGGGCUGGGAAUCGCAGGGACGGGGGGUUUAGCUCCGCUAAGGGCAAGGGCCGUCCAGUAAGCAGGUGGGGCGGUGCGUGGUGUCAAAGGGAAGAUGUGCCUCGUGCCUUUAUACUGUGUGCUCGCUCUGCUUAACGAGCGUGCGUUUUCUUGUGUUGCUGUAGAUGUUGAGGAGGAACCCGGUGAUGCUGGAAUAUCCCUGUCAGCGCACGUGGCGUUUUCUUCUGUUGAAGACGGAUUCAGUUUCUUGGCCCUCUGAAAGCUAAGUGGAGGCUGGGGGCCUGGGAAGGGGCUGAAAACUGCAGGGAGGGGGGUUAAGUUCCGUUCGGGGCAAGGGUUCUCCGGGAACAGUCUCCCUUGGGCAGGUGAAGGGUCCAGGGAAUUUCACAGCGCGAUGCCAGCGUGUGCCGGGCAGGGCAGCUCCAGCCAACGUCUGCGUCGCUGUGUAGUUCGGGAAGCCUGCCUUGCGCCUGUGAGACGAUCCUGGGGUCUCGUUGCUUUCCAGGGGCAGGAAAGGCCUCUCGGGUGCCACCCCGGGAUCUGGAACGCCGGUGCCGAUCGGGCGCUGGUUUUCUGGUGUCGGCAGCCGAAAGCGUGGCGGGUUCUUGCCUUUGGGCCAUUUCUGGUCAGGGCUGUUUGCGGCGUUGUCCUGGGCUGUGCCGGCAGCCGUGCUCUCUACCCAUCCAGUCUAAGGGACUGGAACUUCAAGAUGCUGGGAAGAAGUUCUUAGGUGUUGCAGCAGCUUCUCCUUUGGUUGCAACGUCUCUGCUCGGUUGUGGCGCUGCCGCCGUCUUGUCAGGAGCCGGGACAUUGGGCUCCUUUUCCGUUUGGGGUUGCAGGAGAGGCUCCUCGCCUCACCGUAGAUUAUUGGGAUCGAUGCCCGUCUGGUCUCGGAGCGUCGUGUUCGUCGUGGAGCAUUUUUGGCGCUGUGGCUGUCGCGUGGUCUAUAAGGUUCUGCGGAGCGUCUGUCGGCCCGGGUGCGCGUUUGGCUCGGAGCUGCUCUGCCCGGACGCGUAGAGGCAGGGGAGGGUGGACGGAGCUCUGGCGGUCCCCGGUUAACCUGCUGACGCGUUAAAUUGCGUGGGCAGAGGCGGCGCGGUCAUCUGGGAUGGAGUAGCCGUGGGCAGGGGAGCGGAGGGUCCCCGCGCAGGCGUUUGAGAGCCUCCACGAGAGCUUGGGACGUUAUUGCGCCACAGAAAGCAGACCUGUGGGCUGGUCAGGCUGUUGAUGGGCUGCUGGGUGACUCGCUGAAUAACCUGAUUUCAGGAGCAGAGGGACAACUUGGCCCGGAAGAGCGACGGAGGAGGCGAGCUGUGCGCCGUAAGCAGGUGCGAAGCGAAGAGGAAAGCGGGCUGUCGGCAGCUCAGCUCCUCGGGCCAGGCGGCAGCUGAGCGUCUCGGCGGUCCGCGGCGUGGCAGUCAAAAGCAAGGGCGGCCGGGUGGGCGAGCGGCCCAGGCGCUUUGUGGGCCCUCUGGACCGGGAGGAGCAUUUGCGGCGUCACCAGCGCUGAGGGUUUGUGACCGCACCAGCGGCAGGACACACCGACCGGACCGCCCUGGAGCUCAGCAGGAGGUGCUGAAGAGGAACCCGGCGACGCGGGAAGACGGCCGUUGGCGCACGUGGCGUUUUCCUCUGCCGAAGAUGGGUUCGGUCCCUCGGCCCUCUGAAAGCUAAGUGGAGGCGUGAGGGCUGGGAAGGGGCCGGGAACCGCAGGGACGGGGGGUUUAGCUCUGCUAAGGGCAAGGGCCGUCCAGGAACCGCGCCCUUGGCGCGGGUCAAGGGCCCGGGGACCUUUACCGUGCGAUGCCAGCGUGUGCCGGGCAGGGCAGCUCCAGCCUGCGUCUGCGUUGUGGUGUAGUUCGGGAAGCCUGCCUUGCGCCCGUCAGCCGAUCCUGGGGUCUCGUUGCGUUCCAGGGGCAGGAAAGGCCUCUCGGGUGCCACCCCGGGAUCUGGAACGCCGGUGCCGAUUGGGCGCCGGUUUUCUGGUGUCGGCAGCCGAAAGCGUGGCGGGUUCUUGCCUUUCGGCCACUUCUGGUCAGGGGUGUUUGUGGCGUUGUCCUGGGCUGUGCCGGCAGCCGUGCUCUCUACCCGUCCAGUCUAAGGGACUGGCACUUCUUCCCAGCAUCUUGAAGGUUCUAAGUGUUGUAGCAGCUUCUCGUAUUUGCGCCGUCUCUGCGUGUUUGCGCCAGAGCUGCCGUCUCAUAAGGGGCCGUGACGUUCGGCUCUCAUUUUUCUGGGGUUGCAGUAGAGGCUCCUUGCCUCACCACUGCCUCCCCGCAGGUUAUUUUUACUGUUGCCGUCUCUGGUUCGGAGUCAUUUUUGUUGCGGAGCAUUUUUGGUGUUAUUGCUGUUGGGUCGUCUAUAAUGUUGCGUGGAGCAUCUGUCUAAGCACGUGCGCGUUUGGCUCGGAGCUGCUCUGCCCGGAGGUGUAGAGUCAGGAGCGGGCGGACUGAGUUUAGGAGUCCACGAUUGAUCUGUGGACACGUUUUCCUGCGUAGGCAGAGGUUGUGCGGUCAUCUGGGACGGAGUAGCCGUGGGCAGGGGAGUGGACAGUCCGUUCCCCAGUGGUCUUUGGGACUCAAUUAGACCUUCUUGUGGGAUUCCUGAAUAGAAAGCAGACCUGUGGAAUGGUCAAGCUGUUGAUGAGCUCCUGGGUAACUCGUUGAAUACCUUGAUUUCAGAUGCAGAGGGACAA